AGCUCAACUUCUAUUGAACCUUUUAUGAGUAAAAAGAAAAACCUUCAUAAAGCCACUUAUUUCUUUCAAUAUAUCCUUUAUAUUAAAGCUUCACCAUCAUUUUAAUUUACAAACAUCAAUAAACACCUUUAUGCCUUUUUAAUCGCAAAAUCAUCCACAAAAUUCAGAAUUUUAGUGAAAUUAAAAGUAUACGGCCAUCGGAUUCAUAAGGUGACCACCCGCGUUGCGGUUAACACAGAGUUGUCGGUGAACCAGCGUGGCCACAAGAUAUUAAACGGGAUUAGUAGCGGAUUGAAAAUUAAAGGCGCUGAGCAAAUCGUUUGUCAAUUUAUUUUGAGAGGUUAGUAGCGGAUCCAAAGUAUAUUGUUUGAAGCAUCCGACAGGUUAUAUUUGGUUGAAUAUCUAUGUUUGUAUAAUUUAUGGUUAUUAUCUGAAUUUAGUAUCAUCAACAAAAUGAUUGGUGGGAAUGCAGGUACUUUAUGAGGUUUAUUUUUGAUCUUAUUAAACAUAAAAGUUUCCUUAUACUGUAAGUACUUGUUAAAACCUUCGUAUCUAUAUUAUUGCUCUCUAUCUUUUUAUUUUUCAUUUGUUUAUAGAUUGGAAUAUAUAACAAAUGCUCACAAGCCGCUAAGGAACUCAAAGAUUUCAUAUUCAAUUCAGCAUUGAAGUUUAUCUAGUUUGUGAUAUUCCGUGGACCUGUCAAGCUGCUAAUCAAUUAGAGUUGUUGUAUUAUUUAUUAUUAGUUUAUAUAAAGAUGUGUAAAUUUAAAUUGUAGUGUAAACCAUGUUGAAUGUAUAUAUAAAAUGUGAAUGCCAAUUUGGAUUUAGUGUA